GAAAUGCGAUAAGUAAUGUGAAUUGCAGAAUUCAGUGAAUCAUCGAAUCUUUGAACGCACCUUGCGCUCCUUGGUAUUCCGAGGAGCAUGCCUGUUUGAGUGUUAUGGAAUUCUCAACUCUAUUUGCUUUUGUGAAUAGAGCUUGGAUUUGGAGGUUUAUUGCUGGUACUUGUGAUCGGCUCCUCUUGAAUGCAUUAGCUCGAACCUUUGCGGAUCAGCUAUCGGUGUGAUAAUUGUCUACGCCGUUGCAGUGAAGCAUAUCAAUGGGCUCGGCUUCCAAUCGUCCUUUACUGGACAAUGACUUUGACCUUUGACCUCAAAUCAGGUAGGAUUACCCGCUGAACUUAAGC
rnacentral:misc_RNA from 1 species